rnacentral:lncRNA from 1 species
AGGACAUAAAGACCCAUCAUCCUUUACUUAGGAGGAAUGUUGGAGUUAGUCACGUGCAUAUGCCCUUCCUUAUCAUCUUGGGGCCUGGCUUGUCAUGUUAUAGCCUUCAGUAAAUCCCAUUUGGAUAGGCUCCAGUUCUCCUCUGCUGAAGAGGCAAUGCUUCUUGCUCACUGAAAACAAGGGAGUUGAUGGGAUAUCAAGACUUACCACUGAUCUGGAAGGAAUGUCAGCAGCCAUCUUAUGGUUCCCUUCUCUAUCAUCCUGGGAACUGCACAACGAGACUACAACUCCUACUGAAGCCUCGUGGCACAGGGAAGGAGAAGCAAGUCAAAGCACCUUGAUCACACUCUCCCCUUGAAUCCUGAUGGAGACAGCCCAGGACCCUGAACCCAAGCGCCCCCCAAACUAUCAGACCUGCUUCUAGCCUAGAGCCCACCUACUUCAUCACUACUACCAACAACUGCUGACCAACUCCCACCAACAUGCAGAUAAGUACAGGAGCCCUAGGAGUGACAUUACCACCAGUAAUGCUUCCAGCCCAAGCAGCAUGUGUUGGCCACGUCCAACCACCACCAUCUUCCCACAGACACUAAUGGAGAGAGCCCAGGACUCUUAGCC